rnacentral:rRNA from 1 species
AUUGAACGCUGGCGGCAUGCCUUACACAUGCAAGUCGAACGGCAGCUCGUGAUCAAUCCUGGCGGCGAGUGGCUAACGGGUGAGUAAUACACCUGAAGGUGCGCACUAGUGGGGGAUAAGGCAGCUAAAGCUGUGCUAAUACCGCAUACGAACUACGGAUGAACGCAGGGGGUGGCAAGACCUUGCUCGAAUGGAGGGGGCGCUGCCAGAUUAGGUAGUUGGUGAGGUACAGGCGGACCAAGCCGUGGAUCUGUAGCUGGUCUGAGGGGACAACCGGCGACGCUGGGACUGAGACACGGCCCAGACUCCUACGGGAGGCAGCAGUGGGGAACUUUGGACAAUGGGCGAAAGACUGAUCCAGCAAUGGCGCGUGGAGGAUGAAGGCCUUGGGGUUGUAAAAUGCUUUUGUACGGAACGAAACGGUCUUUUCUACUAAAGAAGGCUAAUGACGGUACCGUAAGAAUAAGCACCGGCUAACUACGUG